rnacentral:rRNA from 1 species
CGCGUAGGCGGUUCCGAAAGUGGCGUGUGAAAUCCCCCGGCUCAACCGGGGAAGUGCGCGCCAAACUUCGGUUCUAGAGGACGGUAGGGGGGACGUGGAACUCUCGGUGGAGCGGUGAAAUGCGUAGAUAUCGAGAGGAACACCGGCGGCGAAGGCGAGUCCCUGGUCCGUUUCUGACGCUGAGGCGCGAAAGCGUGGGUAGCAAACA